AGCGGGCGAUGCUCAGUACGGCGAGUGAGCGGCAAAGCUCAAAUUUGAAAUCUAGCACCUUCGGUGUUUGAGUUGUAAUUUGAAGAUGGUAACCUUGGGUUUGGCUCUUGUCUAUGUUCCUUGGAACAGGACGUCAUAGAGGGUGAGAAUCCCGUCUGAUGAGAUGCCCAUUCCUAUGUAAGGUGCUAUCGAAGAGUCGAGUUGUUUGGGAAUGCAGCUCUAAGUGGGUGGUAAAUUCCAUCUAAAGCUAAAUAUUGGCGAGAGACCGAUAGCGAACAAGUACAGUGAUGGAAAGAUGAAAAGAACUUUGAAAAGAGAGUGAAAAAGUACGUGAAAUUGUUGAAAGGGAAGGGCAUUAGAUCAGACUUGGUGUUUUACGAUUAUCUUCUCUUCUUGAGUUGUGCACUCGUAUUUCACUGGGCCAGCAUCGAUUCGGAUGGCAAGAUAAUGGCAGUUGAAUGUGGCUUCACUUCGGUGGAGUGUUAUAGCUUCUGCUGAUAUUGCCUGUCUGGAUCGAGGGCUGCGUCUUUUGACUAGGAUGCUGGCGUAAUGAUCUAAUGCCGCCCCGUCAUGAAACACAAACCAAUC
rnacentral:rRNA from 1 species